AGAGGCAGCUGAUGAAUAUUCUGUCACAUCAUCAUUAUUCUAAAUGCCUCUCUUAUUCAUGCCACAUUGUUUUCGGCCCUACACAAUCCUGCUGUCCCUUGUGCUGUUAUGGGAUGGAAUAUGAGUGCUGUUGUAACCAUGGCCCUGAAUAAAGCUACCAGCAGCAUCCUGGACUGCACUGAGGGACACACCAGGUUAAUUGGUGGGCCCAAAUCUGCUGAAAAUCUCUCCAAAUGGCACCAAACCUCUCCAAAUUGGAAUAUUGCGUAUAUCUUUUUUCCCCAGCCAUAUUCCACUUCCAGAUGCUUAUUCCAUUGAGUGUGGUACCCUCUA